rnacentral:rRNA from 1 species
AGUCAAGUAAUUAAGUGCAUGUGGUGGAUGCCUUGGCAGUCAGAGGCGAUGAAAGACGUGAUAGCCUGCGAAAAGCUCCGGGGAGGCGGCAAAUAUCCUUUGAUCCGGAGAUGUCUGAAUGGGGGAACCCACCUACUUUAAGGUAGGUAUUGCAACAUGAAUACAUAGUGUUGCAAGGCGAACGAGGGGAAGUGAAACAUCUCAGUACCCUUAGGAAAAGAAAUCAAUUGAGAUUCCCUCAGUAGCGGCGAGCGAACGGGGAUCAGCCCAUUAAGUUAUGUGUGUUUUAGUGGAACGCUCUGGGAAGUGCGAACGUAGAGGGUGAUAUUCCCGUACACGAAAGGGCACACAUAAUGAUGACGAGUAGGGCGAGGCACGUGAAACCUUGUCUGAAUAUGGGGGGACCAUCCUCCAAGGCUAAAUACUCCUGACUGACCGAUAGUGAACCAGUACCGUGAGGGAAAGGCGAAAAGAACCCCUGUGAGGGGAGUGAAAUAGAUCCUGAAACCGCAUGCAUACAAGCAGUGGGAGCACCUUCGUGGUGUGACUGCGUACCUUUUGUAUAAUGGGUCAGCGACUUAUAUUCAGUAGCGAGGUUAACCGUAUAGGGGAGCCGUAGAGAAAUCGAGUCUUAAUAGGGCGUUUAGUUGCUGGGUAUAGACCCGAAACCAGGCGAUCUAUCCAUGAGCAGGUUGAAGGUUGGGUAACACUAACUGGAGGACCGAACCCACUGUCGUUGAAAAGCCAGGGGAUGACUUGUGGAUAGGGGUGAAAGGCUAAUCAAGCCUGGUGAUAGCUGGUUCUCCCCGAAAGCUAUUUAGGUAGCGCCUCGGACGAAUACCAUAGGGGGUAGAGCACUGUUUCGGCUAGGGGGUCAUCCCGACUUACCAAACCGAUGCAAACUCCGAAUACCUAUGAGUACUAUCCGGGAGACAGACUGCGGGUGCUAACGUCCGUAGUCAAGAGGAAAACAAUCCAGACCGCCAGCUAAGGCCCCAAAAUCAUAGUUAAGUGGGAAACGAUGUGGGAAGGCAUAGACAGCUAGGAGGUUGGCUUAGAAGCAGCCACCCUUUAAAGAAAGCGUAAUAGCUCACUAGUCGAGUCGGCCUGCGCGGAAGAUGUAACGGGGCUAAAACUAUGUGCCGAAGCUGCGGAUGUAUACUUUGUAUACGUGGUAGGGGAGCGUUCUGUAAGCCGAUGAAGGUGUGUUGAGAAGCAUGCUGGAGGUAUCAGAAGUGCGAAUGCUGACGUGAGUAACGACAAAACGGGUGAAAAACCCGUUCGCCGAAAGACCAAGGGUUCCAGUCCAACGUUAAUCGGGGCUGGGUGAGUCGACCCCUAAGGCGAGGCCGAAAGGCGUAGUCGAUGGGAAAAUGGUUAAUAUUCCAUUACUUCUGUGUAAUGCGAUGAGAGGACGGAGAAGGCUAAAUCAGCCUGGCGUUGGUUGUCCAGGUGAAAGGAUGUAGGCAUGUAUCUUAGGCAAAUCCGGGGUACUCUAUGCUGAGAUCUGAUAGCAAGCUGUACUUGUACAGCGAAGUGGUUGAUGCCAUGCUUCCAGGAAAAGUCUCUAAGCUUCAGUUACACAGGAAUCGUACCCGAAACCGACACAGGUGGUCAGGUCGAGUAGACCAAGGCGCUUGAGAGAACUCUGCUGAAGGAACUAGGCAAAAUGGUACCGUAACUUCGGGAGAAGGUACGCUGUUGUUGGUGAUGGAACUCGCUUCCUGAGCUGACGACAGCCGCAGAAACCAGGCCGCUGCAACUGUUUAUUAAAAACAUAGCACUCUGCAAACACGAAAGUGGACGUAUAGGGUGUGAUGCCUGCCCGGUGCUGGAAGGUUAAUUGAUGGGGUUAGCGUAAGCGAAGCUCUUGAUCGAAGCCCCAGUAAACGGCGGCCGUAACUAUAACGGUCCUAAGGUAGCGAAAUUCCUUGUCGGGUAAGUUCCGACCUGCACGAAUGGCAUAAUGAUGGCGGCGCUGUCUCCAGCAGAGGCUCAGUGAAAUCGAAAUCGCUGUGAAGAUGCAGUGUACCCGCGGCUAGACGGAAAGACCCCGUGAACCUUUACUGCAGCUUGACACUGAACUUUGACCUUACUUGUGUAGGAUAGGUGGGAGGCUUUGAAGCUGGAACGCUAGUUCCAGUGGAGCCGUCCUUGAAAUACCACCCUGGUAAUGUUGAGGUUCUAACUCUGUCCCGUGAUCCGGGACGAGGACCGUGUCUGGUGGGUAGUUUGACUGGGGCGGUCUCCUCCUAAAGAGUAACGGAGGAGUACGAAGGUGCGCUCAGCGUGGUCGGAAAUCACGCGUAGAGUAUAAAGGCAAAAGCGCGCUUAACUGCGAGACCCACAAGUCGAGCAGGUACGAAAGUAGGUCUUAGUGAUCCGGUGGUUCUGUAUGGAAGGGCCAUCGCUCAACGGAUAAAAGGUACUCUGGGGAUAACAGGCUGAUACCGCCCAAGAGUUCAUAUCGACGGCGGUGUUUGGCACCUCGAUGUCGGCUCAUCUCAUCCUGGGGCUGAAGCAGGUCCCAAGGGUAUGGCUGUUCGCCAUUUAAAGAGGUACGCGAGCUGGGUUUAGAACGUCGUGAGACAGUUCGGUCCCUAUCUACCGUGGGCGCUGGAAAUUUGAGAGGAUCUGCUCCUAGUACGAGAGGACCAGAGUGGACGAACCUCUGGUGUACCGGUUGUGACGCCAGUCGCAUCGCCGGGUAGCUAUGUUCGGAAGGGAUAACCGCUGAAAGCAUCUAAGCGGGAAGCCUACCUCAAGAUAAGAUUUCCCUAGGACUUUAUGUCCUCUAAAGAGCCGUUCGAGACUAGGACGUUGAUAGGUUGGAUGUGGAAGCAUAGUGAUAUGUGAAGCUGACCAUUACUAAUUGCUCGUGAGGCUUGACUAUACAACACCC